AAAAAAAGACAAUACCAAACAUUGGCAAGUAUAUGGAGCCACUGGAACUAUCAGAGAUUGCUCAUGAGUGUGUAAAUUGGUACAAAUGUGGAAAACUGGCAAGAAGUACUAAGUCUAAAUGUAUGCAUGCCUUAUGACCUAGCAAUUCCAUUCCUGGGCAUAUUUACAGGAAGGAGAAAUAUGUACAUAUGUGUAUCAAAAGACAUCUACAACAAUGAUCAUACAAAAUUCUUCACAACAUAGGAAAACUGGAAACAACUGAAACAUCCAUUGGCAGUAAAAUGAAUAAUAAAUUAUAAUAUAUUCCAACAAUGGAAUAAUAAACAGCUGUGAAAAAUAAGGGAAAAUAUUACACAUGGCAAUAUAGUCAAUAUAGAUUGUCAUAAAUCAGGUGAUUGUACACAUACAUAUGAUCUGUUUUAUUGCUGUUUUCCAUUUGUGUGCCAAUUACAUGAUUUUAAUUAAUAAUGUUAUAAGUCUUGAUAUUUCUUGGUAUAAGUUAUCUAACUUGUUUUUCAAAUUCAUCUAAACUCAGGGUUGAGUUUAGGAAGCCAGAUACGAAAAAGUGCAUGCUGUAUGAUUUCACGUUGUAUCGCAUGAUCUGGGUUGUGGUUACAUGGAAGUGAUGGUUUGUUCAUGAAACUGGACGUUUGAGUGUUGUAUACUUUAUUUGAUCCUUGUACUUGUGAUUCAAAAUUUCAUAACAACUUCCUGCUACCCUUUAUGAUUUGAUGUGUGUAAGUAGAGUUUGCAGAUAAUGUAGUUCUAUACUGAGCUAUGAAUUUAUUUUUAUAAUGUACAUUGUUUUGUAUUAAGAAUCAUUCCAAGUGACAGAAAAUUUGCGAAAUCAAAGUAUUAACAUUUAUAAAACCCUUCUGUUGUUUAUACUAUUCUGGCCAUGACUUUCAAAAGCACUGAUUUUUAGGGGGACAGAGUAUCAAAGAAAGACCUUGGCUAAAGAAAGCUCUUUCAAGUGGGAAGGGCAUCAUAGAGAAUGGAUCUUGAGGAGUGAAAGUCAGGAGAUGCCUUCCUACUCAGCUGCAUAGCUCAUGAAGCUGACAACCCGCAGAGUUAUAAAUGUUGUGGGUAGAUUGCCUUCACACUGGCCUUGCAAUCAUCUGCUACACUGAGCACCAUUACAUUUCAUGGUGGACAUUCUAAGGUGUGACACUGUGUACUCUGCUGUCAGGAGGCUUUCCGGGGAGAAGGGUCUUGCCAAGGAUUUCUUGCACUCCCAGCCACCUGACUGGUUUAGUCUGAAAUUUCAGUAUUCCAGGGUAGUAUGAGAAAGGCCCUAUCUGGUAACAAAGAAAGCAUAA
rnacentral:lncRNA from 1 species